rnacentral:rRNA from 1 species
UACGUAGGGUGCGAGCGUUGUCCGGAAUUAUUGGGCGUAAAGGGCUCGUAGGCGGUCUGUUGCGUCAGGAGUGAAAACUCGGGGCUUAACCCCGAGCCUGCUUCUGAUACGGGCAGACUAGAGGUAUGCAGGGGAGAACGGAAUUCCUGGUGUAGCGGUGAAAUGCGCAGAUAUCGGGAGGAACACCAGUGGCGAAGGCGGUUCUCUGGUCUGUCUCUGACGCUGAGGAGCGAAAGCGUGGGGAGCGAACGGG